rnacentral:rRNA from 1 species
UACGGAGGGGCUAGGCGUUGUUCGGAAUCACUGGGCGUAAAGCGCACGUAGGCGGAUUGCUAAGUCAGGGGUGAAAUCCUGGAGCUCAACUCCAGAACUGCCUUUGAUACUGGCGAUCUCGAGUCCGGGAGAGGUGAGUGGAACUGCGAGUGUAGAGGUGAAAUUCGUAGAUAUUCGCAAGAACACCAGUGGCGAAGGCG